CAGUGUAACGGUUCAGCUUUAGCCAGGCGAAUUUCAACUUUGGUGGACAGAACGUCAAAUCUGCACAUUUCAGGUAUUAUCUUUCCAAAUAAGCGGGUCUGAAAAUGAUAUGUAUCUUCACCAGCAACAUCAAUGCUAACACCUAGUUUUUGUUCACCAAAGUCAACAUUAACGUCUUUGGCUGAUAUGCCCUCAGCGAAUAUAGUCACAACCACUUCUUCUGGCUUCUGGUAGAAUGCAGGCCUGUAUUUUGGUUUGACAUAUGUAGUGGUCACCUGAUUGGAAGGUUGACUCGCAGGCUGAACAUUUUUUGCAGGUAUAACAUUCUCUGUAAUGUUUUUCUCCAAUGAAGCCGUUGGUAGAACAGCAGUUUCCUCUGCAAUUUUCUCAUCACACUCUUUUAUCAAAUUAGCGAAUCUUGUCUCAUGUGGGGCCAAAGGAGCACCAAUUUCCAGGGUUGCCUUUGCAGUCUGAUAUUCCUCGAGCUUGAUGCAGGCAAUUCCUUUGCGCAAAUACGCUUUGUACAAUAAUGGAUCGAACUCGAUUGCCUUGUUCGCAUCCGCAACAGCCUCAGUGAGAUUGCCGGAUUUGAUGUUGGCCUGCGCGCGGUUGGUGUAGAGCUCGGCGCUCUGAGGGUUGAAAGCAAUGGCAUGGGUGUAGAGGUCAACGGCCAACUUGAAGCAGUCGUCGAUGAACGCCUCAUUGGCACACUUUUCGAGAUCGGAAGCCAUGGGCAGACAACCGUCCAUGUGGACCGAGGGAGAUGGAAGAGUCUAGAAAAACAAAAAAAGUAUACAACUAUGGUUAAUUGUUGAUUUCUUUACAUAGAUGAGAAACUAAAUACAAUGUAUAAUAUUUAAGGAAAAAAAAAUACAUUGAUAAACCAAUAAAUUAUUAAUUUACCGAUUAUUUAAUAUUCCGCUAUAUUAAUAGUCUUCAUUGGUCUCAAGGCUAUUUAUUUAUAGAAGUUUAAUUAUAUAUACAACAACAACAAAGUCUUUUCCCACUAAGUGGGGUCGGCUAUAAUUUGGCAAAUAUACGAUAUAACUCUAAUAAUUUCGGAAGUACAAACCUCUUCAGAUGAAUUAUUUCUUGGUACAGCACCAAUCUCCUCAAUGCUAGUGUAUUUGUCACCGGCAUUACCAUCAUCCCAGACUAGAUUAAUUCCUGUUUUCAUCACUCUCCCUAUUACUCUCCCUCUCCCAUGAGCCUUUGUAACUGCAGAAAUCGAGACUUCGUCUCCACUUUGCAAAUGGAGUACAUCAUUUGAUAAUACACUUUGCAAACGGAGUACACUAUCAGCUACCCAGCAGGUAGAUUCUUCCCAGGUGUGCAAAGCCUUACGCUUGGUAAUAUUUGUAACAGUAAAUCCCGGACAAUAUGUUUCGAAAACACAGCACACAGUCAAUCCUCUAAAAUUACAAGGCACUUUAAAACGAACAUCAUUGGGCUCAUGAAUACCAACAAUCUGGAACCACUCCGGAAUAUCAUAAAUUCCAUUGAGAAAAAUGUCACCAUGUCCGCAAGAAGUCCAUCCCUAGAGCAUACCACGUAAAGCCAGAUUAAUUUGUAUAAGCAAGUCUUAAUUAUGCAUGCGUGUCAUGAACAUGUACAGUACAGGGGCCUCUGUGGGAGUGUGAUAGAAAGAGGAAGAGAAUAUGUCUCUCAGAGGGAGAUCUGUAGGAUGUUCUUCCUAAAACUCAGCAUGUACAUGUCAUUAUUAUGCAUACGAAAUACAUUCUUGUACAUGCAUGUUUUUGGUGUGUUUGUGUGGAUAUGUGUGUGUGUCUGUGAGGGAGAGAGAGAGAGAGAGAGAGAGAGAGAGAGAGAGAGAGAGAGAGAGAGAGAGAGAGAGAGAGACCUGUAUGAUGUUCUUCCUAAAAUCAGCAGUGAGAUUGGUGCAGCCUUCCAUAUGAAUCCUUCUCAUAGUGUGUAACGACUUAUGCAAGCCUAGAAUCUCACUGAGUUUGGGGGAGUGAUUUAGAUGCAGUUCUACCAUACUUGACAUUUCUGAAAAAUUUGGCAGUUUUGCGAGUGCAAUGCACUGAUUCGCUCUCAAGAUUUCCAAACUUCUUGGUAAAUCCGGGAUUUCAAGAAGAUUUUUGCAAUAACUCAAAUCUAACAUUUUAAGCUUGGAGAGUCCACUGAGGCUAGGUAGGCUAUAAAACAAAUUGCCAUCAAGCUCCAAUAUUUCUAAGGAAAAUAGACUCCCAAGAUCCUUAGGGAUUGCAUCAUCAGUUAAACCACAGUUUCCAAGACCUAAAAGUGUCAAAGAAUUUAAGCCAUGCAAUGAAAGGAGCACAGAUCUCAGGUUCUUCAAUCCUGUUAUUGAGGAUGGUAAUUUCCUUGUCAUUGUAUGGCUUGCUUGAGGUGUUGUCGAUGAUACCAUCUCCCCCUUGUCCUUCAGUUUUAUAAAUCCUGUACAGCCUUUAAGAAUAAGAGUCUCAACUGAUUUUGACUUACAGAAAUCCCCUGGAAAAUACUGAAGCGUUUUGCAGUCUUCAAGAUUUACCAAUGAAAGUCUUUCAAGAUGCCCAAUAGAUGGGUGAAUCUUAGACAAUCUUACACAGUUUACCAAUAUCAGUUUUUCAAGAUUUGGGACUUUGGAAAGAUCUGGUGAUUCUGUUAGGUAAUGGGAAUGACUGAGAUUGAUGAUUUUCAGAUUCUUGAGCAGCUGCUGGGGGAAAAAAAAAAAAAAAAAAAAAAAAAAAAACAGAACACAAAAUAGAAAUUCAAAUAGAAGAGAGAGAAAGCAAGAUAUUGGUAUUCACAGAAGCUGAAGAAAAUAAUUAAUAAUUUGUUUGAGAUCGUAUCAUACCACGUCAGUAUCCACCCAAACUUGUAUGAGUUUGCUAUAGCUCAGGUCAAUAGCAACUAGGUUUGAUUGAUCGAAAUCUUCAGGUAUGACCUUCAGAGGAAAUCCAUGCCAACACAGCCAUCUUAACUCUUUGGAAAGAUGGUCGUAACUUCCGGUGAGCUUUAUGUUAUUGAGUUUGAGCAAUCUCAGACUCUGCAUCUUUCUAAAUGCUUCUGUACUGAAGCUACACUCGUCAGACUCUUGCAUAUCCAAAGCGAGUCCUUCAACGUCUUCUGUUCCCUAUUACAAAAAAUAGUUGAAAAUUGAAAACAAACCAACAACAACAACAACAACAGAGGAACUAAGAAAAGGGUUAUAUGCAAGUGAAAAGGUGAUUAAUUCAUACAUCAGAACCACAAGGCCUUGAAUUGGAUGGAUGAACCACAUGAGAGGUGGACAAUUACACAAUAUAGAACAUGGGACCUCUCAUAGGCAACUUUUAUUAUAUAUCUACUAUAAUAUGCUUAUAUGUCUGGAUUAUAACCAUAAAGUUGUACUUUACAUCUGUCUACAUUAAUUAGGUAUCUUUAGCAAGCUUCUGUUACAGGUAUCAUAAUUCACAAAUUGUACUUAACCAGAGGAGGACAUGUGUGAUUCUGUUAUUUAAUUUGAGAUGAUUCAAUACAAAAAGCUCCUUUUUUGUCUCUUACAGUUUCCUUUCUCUGCUACAUUAGUACAUGCAUUUAACAUCAAAUUUAAUUGCAAAAGUACUCACAGAUUGCUUCGUCAAUACGUCUGUUAUAUCUUCAUUAUACCACAAUCUACUACGUUCUCCAGGAUUGUCAGGGGAUUCUGCACGCACGAUUUCUCUGCCCAUGCCUUGAAUCAAAUCAUGCAUCAUGAGAUUGCCUUCUUUAUCAACAGUUACAAGGCAUUGAUCUUGGAGUUCUCGAAUCCCUAUUUCUGGAUAAAACUGACAGCCAUCCAGUACUGUCAUGACAUAGUCCUUGUUCAUUCCAGUAAAGAAACAAGAGAUGUCAAGGAAUAUAGCCUUCACGUCAUCAUCAGUUAGCCCAUCAUAGCUUAUUUCAAGUCUUCUGUGAAUUUCCCGAUAAGGCUGUGAUCUUUUCCAUUUAUCCAGUACAGUUUCCCAUUCACUUGUGCUUCCUGUACGUAUAUAAGAACCUAAGACUUCAAGUGCUAGUGGCAAACCUCCACAGUAGCCAACAGCCUUUCUUGAGAGCUCAAUAUACUCUUCAUUAGGAUAAUUGUUUCUAAAGGCAUGCCAACUAAGUAGUUCAAGAGCUUCUCCUUCAUUCAUUGCUGGCAGAGGACAUAUCUUAUCCACAUUAAUUAUCUUUAGCAAAUGUUCGUUUCUUGAAGUUAUAAUGAUUCUGCUCCCUGGACCAAAGGAGUCAGGUUUAUAGCCAAAGCAUCUCUUUGUUGAACGCUGUCUAAAUCAUCAAUUACGACAAGUACCCUUCUGUUGCCUAACCUUUGUUUUAUCUCCUUGGUCCCUUCAUUGAUACUACUUACCAAUAUGUAGGCCGGUUUCAAGAUAUCAGAAAUAAGUUUUUUUUGCAAAUCAACCAGUUUCUCUUCGCUCGCAGUUUCAAGGAAACUUGCACCGUCAAAACUAUGAUGAUGUUUGUUGAAAACGGCUUUUGCAACCGUUGUCUUACCCAGUCCACACAUACCCAAAAUUCCAAUUAUGCGAACAUCAUUUGAUCCUCCAACAUCUAAAUGCUUACUAAUUUCUCGCACACGAGAAUCUAUUCCAACUAGCUUCGUAGGUACCACUAAGCGAUUGUUUCUGCUCAGUUUUCCAGUGAUCUGAGAAACAACGUUCCUGAUAAAAUUUCCUUCAUUCCUGGUUGUUAAAAUUCAACAAAGCAAAAGUAAAAAUUUAUUAUGCGACUUCAAGAUCACAUUAAUCUUUCAGAAAUUGACGAGUCAAAAUCUCCAGAUACUAUUACAAUUUCCUAAACUGAAAUCUUGGUUGUUAAAUUUCAACAAGGCAAUUAUUACCGAUUAUUUUUUUAUUGUGUAUAUCGAUAUUUUACACUAAGAAGAAGAGAGGGAAUUCGGCUAGGUCACACAAUAAGCAACAUAAUUUGGUAUCGAAUUCGCCAUCCACGAUAUUCCAACAUAAGAUCUCUCGCUUAUAAGUGAAGAGUUAUACCAUCAAAUCCUAGUAUUGAGUGGCUAGAUAAGCCUGAUAUAAUCAUUACUUAUACAUAAAUAAAUAAAAUGGAAGGGAAAUUUCAGCCACACAAAGUAAAGAAAAUAAAAAGGAAAUAAGAAAGUAAUUACCCGGCAGAUUUGGUUCCAACAACGUCAGUCUGUCGAAAAUUGAAUCCGGCCAAACUUCCAGCUUCCUUAAGAGCGUUUCUCCAGAGAAGUACCUUUUCUUCCUUAACUUCCUGUUCAUAUUUCUGAAACGCCUGUGCAAAACUACCACUCUGGUUCAGGACAUCUGAGGAAUCAACACCAUAGAAGAUUGGAAAAACCAUUUGACCCAGUGUUUUUCUGCACUCCAUGAUCUUCACCAGCUCCUCGAGACACCACGCGGACUCUGGAUACCCUCUUGAGAAGACGACGACGGCAACCUUAGACCUUUCGAUUUUUUGAAUCAGGUGUUCUGGUAUAGCUCUAUUACUUUUUUCUAGCUUGUAAUCGUAUUCGUCUCCGUACAUGAAGACGUUGAAUCGGUGGUCUUCUAAUGUACAGUAGAGGUGGUCCGUGAAGGUCGUGCGUGUGUCUUCACCUCCAGAACUCAAGAACACGUCGUACAUCGGAUCGUCUUUGGAGGAUGAAUCCAUCAAUUGUUACUCCAGGAUGUCUUGGCAGGCAGCACAGAUCAAAUUUGAGAUCUACAGACAACCGUAAGGGCAAAGUAAACUCAAAACUCCGAAAAGAAAAGUGGGAACUGGCAAGUGACAAGUCAAUUACGAUCGAUCCCACCCAUUUUAUUUUUUGAUCCAACGGUAUCAAAAAGCUCAAGGAAGAAAAAAAAAAUUUAACCAAUUUUUUUAAGAGAAUUUUAACUAAAAGCUACCGGUACGGUUUACUUUAACGAAAAAUCAUAUUUUUACACUAAAAAAAUCAAUCAUCGUACUUUUUAUUUUAUCCUUUAUUUUGUUCCUAUCGUUAAAAAUUAAAGUUUUUAAACCAUUUUCAUUAGUUUUCUUUUUUUUUAAAGACAAAAUAACACCUAUCCUUCCUAGAAAAAAAAAUAAAAAUAAAAAAUCCAACUGUCACCCAAGGGCCAAGAGCCAAAAGACACAAGCUGUGUGAAAGGUGCUAAAUCGUCUCACUCCUUACUUUAGUUUAGUACAAGACUGGACCUUUGUAUCAAGGAAAACGAUAGAUUGCCGAUGAACUAAACCACCUAAAAAAAUCUAUGACAACUUUAAAGAAGGAAAAAAAUAUCUAUGACAAUUUGAAGAAAGCAGAUGGCAAAUCAAACAGUAAACACUGAAUUAAAAACAAUAAACUCAUCCAUACAUCCAGCUCCCAUCUCUCUCAAAUCUGUCAGUCCCUCAAAGUCACCCAUACCUCCCUCAGUCACCCCUUCCUGACCGGCCAACCCCACAAACUGCACACAACCAUGCCUUCCCCUCUCUCUCUCUCUCUCUCUCUCUCUCUCUCUCUCUCUAAAAUCAGAGGAAACCUCAUAGAUCCUGGCAGAUGACGUAGAUAAAUCUCUCUCUCAUUGAGUCGAAAGCCCUAACACCCAUAUCUCUCCAAUAUGUCACUCCCCCUGUCCUCCCCUAACCACCCGAAGCACAGCCAUCUCUCCCCGAGUCAAAAUUGGCGGCCCUCACUCUCUCUCCAUUCUAUCAGCUCUUAUCUCUCUCAAAUCUGCAGGUGACUCCUCUCUGUGGGUGAUUGUGUGCCCAAACCCCAUUUCCAUCCGCCCAAUACAAAUCCAACCAAGCAAAUAAAACCCCAUCCAGAGCCUAAACCCACAAAGCCCAUUUUUUAAAGGAAUGGCAUGCCCGUAAAUAAAAUGAAAUUCGAACCCAAACACUAUUCAUUUCUAUAGUGCUAAUUCCAAUGCUUUCCUUAGACUAAAGUAAUUUUAUUUUAUGGGUUAAUAUCAGUUUAUUACUCUAAUAUUUAGUGGUUUUCAACAUUUGGUAUAUGAAGUUUUUUUCAUCUCAGAGUCAUACCUCAAGUCUUAAUUUUGGAGCAGUCUCGUACUUUCGUUAGUCAUUCUGUUAAGGACUCUGUUAAAACGUGAUGUGGCACUUGAUUGGGCAACGACAAUGCAAAAUGUGGCACUGUGGGCUCCACAUAGACCUAUAAAACAAUUAGAUAAUUAAAUAAUAUUUUUUGCCUACCUUUUCUCCAGUAAGAAGAACAAAUAAAUAAAAAAUAAAAAUAUUAUAACUCCCAUCUUCUCAAAGUCUUUAAGCUUGUUUGGAUGUAUUUUUAAAAUAACUGAAAGCGCUUUUGGUGAAAAUACUUUUGAAAACUAUCCUUAGUAAAAAUGUUAGUAAAUUCUUGAAAAGUACUUAGGGUGCGUUUGUUGCACCGGACUGUCUCGGACUGGACUAGCUUCAGGGACUAAGCUGGACUAACUUAAUGAAAAGUUUGGUGCAGUGUCGGACUAAGAAGCAAAAUAAUAAUAAAUUCUAAUAUUAUAUAGUUUAAUUCAUAAUUUAUUCCUAAUUCUAGAAACCUCUCCGUCCAUCAACCUCUGUUUUUAUUCCUCAUUUUUCUCAGUCCCACCCUCAUCCUCUUUCUCUACCCUCUCCCUCUCUGCCUCCUAUCUCAAGUCGUGGAAAAGGAAGAAACUUGCUCUAAUUCUCCUGCACUUGAGCUUCCAAGAAGGACCCAAAGUCUUGAGCGAUUUGUAUUUCUUUUUUUUUUUUGUUUUUUUGUCAAUUCACUGUCAUUUUCCCAGGCCCCAGAUCCGGCCGACCCAGACUCUUUUCGUAGUUGGAGCUAACGAUUUGAGACAUGUUGGGGGAGUUGGUGUGUUGAGUCGACGAUUCAACGGCGGAGGUUGUGAAAGUCCAAGCUUUUCCGAUGUAUGUGCGGCAAGACACGCGGUGAUUCAACUACGGAGUCAUCGAGCUUUUUUUUGGAAAAAUCAAACCCGUUUUCUGGUGGAGUUGGUGAAGGGAAGCAGACGAGCGACAGAGGAACGAAGCAAGUCUUAGUUUGUCCCAUGGUUUUCGGGGACUCUAACUAAGAACCUCUAGUGACGCUGUCAGUCCCGAUGAGUCCGGGCUAAUCUCAUUAAUCUUAGCCCCGCAUGAUAACAAACACUGGACUAAACCAAAAGUUAGUCCAGUCUGGUCCAGUGAAACCUAGUGAAGCAAAACAAACGGGCCCUUAAAGUGUUUCCAGGGAGAAGCACAUAACUGGUGCUUCUUGUAGAAAGCACUUAAAGUGCUUUUGGAACUCAAAAAUAUUUUCUUUAAAAGUGCUUUCAAUCAUUUCAAAAGCACAUCCAAACGAGCCCUUUAUCACCUACAACUUCUCCAACCACCCCUACAUCUCCUCCGACAACCACGCUUCCCUAGCCGCCAUUUUUCACACACCUAGAACCUAAAUCCUCCAUUUUCCUCACUGCCUCCAUCUCAUCCUUCGACUCUUUCGCUACCAUAGUUAUCUCCUUCACCAAACCCACAACCUCUAUCGCUGGCAUAGCUGUCGAUUACGGCGAUCCAGAUCCGAAAACCUUAUGGAAGAUUCCACGACAUGUUGAAUAUGGCCACGAUAGUGAUCGAAUGCUCGGAUUUGGCUACGGCGAUGAGUGAGUUGUCUGGGAUCGGGAACCCCAACUGGAUUGGGACAAAACGACGACUUCAGAUCUUGGCUUCGUCUGUACAAUUAGGCAAUUAGGAACCGAUUCUUUGAACCAUGAGGGAUCCAAAACCUUGGCGACGUCUUCAGAUCUCGGUCUCGAUGGCGAAGAUGAGCUAUUGGAAAUAGCUCGUUGUCGCGGACCAGAUCCAUUGCGAAAUAGAUCUUGGACUUGCUUGCCAUGACCUUUUUAGAGUUGGAUGAUGUUGGGUGCUUCACCAUCCUCAUCACAAAGGACGAUGUUGGGGUUCUUUUUUAGGUUUUAGGUUUUAAAUUUUUUAAUGUUUAAUUUUUAUAUUUUUUUAUUUUAAAAAAAAUUAAUAUCCAUGUAGGUCAUAUUGACAUGUGGCGUCUAUUCAUUGUCUACAUAAAUGCCACAUCACCAGUUAAUGACUUUCUUAACAAAAAGACUAACAGAAAUAUGAGACUGUCCCAAAAUUAAAACUUGAGGUAUGACUCUGGGAUGAAAAAAAACUUCAUGUACCAAAUGUUGAAAACCAGGAAAUAUUAGGGUAGUAAACUGAGAUUAACCCUUGUUUUAUAUUAUGAAUACUUUACUCACUCCUUACUUAGUUUAGUGUUUUAUAUUAUGAAUAUUUUAUUAGGUAGAUACAGGUCGGGCAAAGCAGACACUCUGCACUCUCAAUCAAGGUUCUAAAAAACGUUAGGCGCUAGUCGGGCGGUGGGCUGGCGCCUAGCGCCUAGCGCCUAGGCGGCUAAGACCAUCUCCAACCGAAGGGUCUAGAGGGCCAGAGGGCCGAAAAUAGCCCUAAAACCGUCUCCAACCGAGGGUUAGGCUAGAGGGCUCGGGAAUCUGGGAGGGCCCCACGGGAUCGGAGAGGGCUGGAGGGCUGGAGGGCUGGCUGCUUUCGGCCAGCCAGCCAGCCUCGGGCUGGCUAUUUUUUUUUUAAUGUUUCUUAUUUCUGUCGGUUACAACCGACAGAAAUAACAUUUUGAAUUCAAACUUCCAACGGCUAGCGCCACUAGCCGUUGUAAAUCCUUUUUUUUUUUUUUAUGAAUUUAAACCUUUUUUUUCUUUUUUUUUCUAUAACUUCCUAUAACUUCUAUUUUACAAAAUUUGUUUCAAUUUUUUUUUAAUUCUAUUUUUUUUCCUAUAACUUAUAUUUUACAAAAUUUGGUUCAUAUUUUUUUCAUAUAACUUCUAUUUUACAAAAUUUGUUUCAUAUUUUUUUUUAAAAUUCCAUUUUUUCCUAUAACUUCUAUUUCACAAAAUUUGUUUCAUAUUUUUUUUAAAUUCUAAUUUUUUCCUAUAACUUCCUAAGCCAUUAUACAACAUUAAAUUAAAUUAAGUAACAUGAAACAACAUUAAACAAUAUGAAACAACAUUAAAUAACAUUAACCGACAUAAAAAUUAUACAACACUAACCAACAUGAUUUUUAAAUAAAAUUAAGUUGUAGUUUUUAAAUAAUAAAUUAUGUUUGGCCCUAUGGCCCUUUGGCCCUCGGUUGGAGACGGUUUUUUUUUACAGGGCUAAAACGAGCCCUCUGGCCCUCUGGUUCUCAGUUGGAGACGGAGGCAAAUAUGGCCAUGUACUGUUCAUUAAAAUAUUAAUAUCUUGGAGAAUCUUAGAGGGCCAGAGGGCUAAAACGAGCCCUCUGGCCAGCCAUCGGUUGGAGAUGGCCUAAGAGGGUCUAGGCAGGCGGCCUAGGCAGAUUUAGAUAAAUUUCUUGUAUAUCUUAUAAAUAAGUGCAUAUUAACACUUACAAAAAAUUAUACUUGUAUGAAAUCUAUGGAUAACAUAAUAAAAGAAUGAUAAAAUGAAAAAAGAGUACCCAACAAGUCCAAUUUAAAAACACAUUAACCAUAUAUGCCAUAUAACCAUAAUGAGGAGUAUAGUAGGAUGACACAUGUAUUACAAGUUCACAACUUAGACUUAGAUAGGAUAUUUUUUUUAAAUUUAAAAAAUAAAAAAAAUAAAAAAUAAAAUAAUAAAAUAAUAAAAAAACCACUUAGCCUCCUAGCACUGCCUAGCUCGCCUAACCCGCCUAGAGCCCAGCCAAUUUGCAAGAAAAUGCCUUGGGUCACCACCGCUGAGUGCCUAGGCAAUUUUUUAGAACACUGCUCGUAAUUGAGUGCUGAGCAAAAAUAAGGAUGAGGUCUUCUUUGUGAGGAUCUUAGAGAUUCUCACAUUUUAACUGUUUUGUACGAUCAAUUUUCAUUCAGUACUAUUUGUGUUUAAUUUUAAAUAAAAUUUUAAAAUGAUUUCUGAAUGCAAGAUAUACGAUGAAUGACUAGAAUCGGAUUCCCACAAUUUAUAUCCGGAUGGGAUCCAAAUCCCAAAAACAAGUCGUAAAAGAAAUGUAACAAACAAUUUACUCAAUAAAAUUUUAUUCUCAUUUGUUUUUUGGAAGAUUAUUAAUUUUGAGGUCAACUCAUUCUAAACAAUGCGUUUAUUAAUCACACCUUUUUUUUUAAUAACGAAAUACGUUUUGCUUCUAACAUGAUAAAAAUGAAUUUUCGAGAUCAAUGUCUUUAUUUGAUUUUGCGGUUGCACUUAGGUGGAACCCUAGACUACCUACCUACCUUUUUUGAGGGAUCAAGCCGCUUGUUCUUCAUCAUUUUCAAUGAGUGAAUGACUCACUGAAAAAGAAAGAUUUGGUUAUGCUGAUAAUAGAUUGAUUAUGCAUCCUUCGUAGAAUCAAACUGGCAUAAUUCUAGAUUUUCGAUGAGUGUAUGACUGAAAGAAAUUUUUUAUAUUUUGGUGAAUUUGGUUGAAUGAACUAGGGAUUUGAUUUGAAUUUGGACUUUGUGAUGAAUUUGGUUGAGGUGAACUAGGGAUUUGAUUUGGACUUGUUUUGGUUUUGUGCAUUUCCAUCUAGAUCGAAUCUAGAUUGCCUACACCUUUAGCGGAUCAAAUCUGAUGUAGUUGAAGAUGUUUUGUGUGGCUUUGUGCCAUUUGGAAUAUGAAGUGGCUUUGUGCCAUUUCGACCAAUUCGGUAAUUUUCAUGGGAAUUUAACCUAUUAAUGUGACUUGGUUCACAACUGCUGAAUUUGAGGUAAUUUGCCUCCAUGAUUUUUGAAGAUUCGCAUCCACUAAUGUGACACGGUUCGAAGUUUUCUCCAUGUUUUUCUUUAUUUUGGACUACUUGGAUGUGGUAUGCCUCCGCCAAGCCGUUUCGUUCUUGGUCCUGUUUGAUUCAUUGAGCCUAAGUUUGAAAGCUAUGACCAUUUCCAACCGAUCAAGCCAAAGGGUCAUAGGCCAAAAUAUAGCCAAUUUUGACAGAAAAUCGUCUCCUAUCGAGAGCUAGGCCAAAGGGCUUGUGAACCCCACUAAGCCAUACUUCAUCCAUUAGGCCAGUGGGCUGGCCAAAAAGAGCCAGCUAGCCCGUUUCUAGCAGCCCAAAACAGGGAGAGAAUAGGCGUGCCCCAUCUCACUGAGACCGAUUGCACAGAUUCCAAAGACACGUGUCCUAGCUGAGAACGAAACACACCCUAAAAUCCAUGGAGUAGGAUUCUCUCCCCUCUUUUUUUUCCCUCCCCUUCCCUCCCCUCCUAUUUGAACGGUCACAAUUAAGCUACAUCAACAUCUUAUAUUAAUUUAUUAAAGAAAGAGAAAGAUAAAAUAAAGAAUGUGAGAUGAGGAGAUGGAAAGAAAAGGGUAGAGAAUCAUAAUCCAAAAUCCAUUAAUGUGGACAACUCCUUGCAAGGCAUGUGUCAUCCUUCCUCAGAAACAAUGAUGCCUCCAAAAUAAUAUUCACAUUCUUCUACAUCCUUUCAUCAUUCUAUAUCAUCUUACCUCAUUUUAUUUCAAUUCUUCACAUUCUAUUCUCUUACAUUUUUCAAUAAUCUUUCCUUUAAUAUUUUCAAUAAUUUUCAAAUGGCCACAUCUUCAAUCAAAGAAAGGGCUUAUUCAUUUAACAACAAGUGGCACUCAAAAUACGUCAUAAAACCUUAUUUUAAUUCAAUUAACAAUCUUAAUUCAAUUAAAAUAAUAAAUUAUUGAGGGGGCUAAAAAAUAGCCCCCUUCGGUUAGAGAUGGUUUUUUGUUAAACGGGCUAUGUUUUGGCCUAUGGCCAUUUGGCCCCCUCAGUUGGAGGUGGUAUAAAAUAUAGCCUGACUGUUCAUUAAAAAAUAAUUUCUUGCAUACCUAUAGGGCUAAACAUGGCCUUUUGGCCUCCUUUCAGGCCAUCUCAACCGAUCCGGCCAAAGGGUCAUAGGGCCGAAAAUAGUCCAAAAUGACACGAAAAUCGUCUCCAACAGAGGGCUAGUCCAAAAGGCUUAUGGGCCCCACUGGGCCAAAAAUACAAAAUCAGGCCAACCCGCUGGCCCAAAUAAGCUAGCUAGUUAGCCCUGGGCCGGCCCAACCUUUUAAAAGCAACGGCUACCUGGCAUCAGCAUGACGCCAGCUAGCAAUGGCUAGCUGAUGCCAGGUAACCGUUGGAUUUGAAUUUUUUUUUCCUGACAAAAUUAAAAAAAAAAAAAAUUCCAAUUUUUUUCUAUAAAUACCUAAUUCAUUCCUACACCAUUUCUCACAUUAUUUUCACCAUUCCAUACUAUUUUACACGAUUUCUCUCCUAAAUCAUUUCUUACCUUUUCCAAUAAUCUUUGCUUCAAUUUUUUCAAUAAUUUUCAAAUGGCCAGAUCUGCAUUGAAAUGUAGGGCUUGGACCCGAAAAGAAGAUGAAGCUCUUUGCAGGGCUUAUAAGUGGGUCUCCAAAGAUAGUGUGAAGGGGAGUUCUCAAACAAGUGAAGGUGUUUGGACUCGUACAUCCAAAAAAUACUAUGAGUUCUACAAAAGCACCACUCCACCGAUUUCCCAAAACCACGAGAGUUCUUCAAGAUCGAAAAAACAUCUUCAUCCAAGUUUGAAUAAAUGACAUCAAGCAGUGUUAAAGGCCAAAAGCAGACAUGAAAGUGAAGCCAAUUACUACGACCAAGUAAGUGUUUUCACAAGUUAUUUUAAAUGUUUAAUUGGGUAAAUUACAUAGUAGCUCCUCAGGUUUGAGCUCUAUUGCAAUCUCAUACAACAUCUUUAAAACAUUUCACUUUCAUACCUCAAGUACUAUUUUAUUUCAAUUUCAUACAACCGUUAGAUUUUCCAUCCAUGGAUCUGUUAAAUGCUGACGUGGCUGCCACAUAUAUGACACGUGGCUGCCAAAUGUCUGCCACGUGGCAAAUAAAAUAAUUUUUUAAUUUUUUUUUUUUAAAAAAACAUAUCUGCCAUUUUUUUUUCUCUUUCUUCUUCUUCUUCUCUUUCUCUUUCUUCUUCUCUUUCUCUUUCUUCUUCUUCUAGGUUCGGACCUUUUUUUUUUUUUUUUUUCUUCUUCUUCUUCUUCUUCUCCCUCCUCCUCCUCUUUCUUCUUCUCUUCUUCUUCUUCCUCCUUCUUCUUCUGGGUUCGGUCCCUUUCUUUCUUUUUUUUUUUUUUUCUCUUUCUUCUUCUUCUUCUUCUUCUUCUCUUUCUUCUGGUUCGGACCUCCUUUUUUUUUUCUUCUUUUUCUUCUUCUUCUUCUUCUCCCUCCUCCUCCUCUUCUUUCUUCUCUUCUUCUUCUUCUUCCUCCUUCUUCUUCUGGGUUCGGUCCUUUUUCUUUUUUUUUUUCUUUUUUUUUCUCUUUCUUUUUCUUCUCUUUCUCUUUCUCUUCUUCUUCUUCUCUUUCUUCUUCUUCUUCUUCUGGGUUCGGACCUUUUUUUUUUUUUUUCUUCUUCUUCUUCUUCUUCUUCUUUUCUUCUUUUUUUUCUGGGUUCGGUCCCUUUUUUUUUUUUUUUUUUCUUCUUCUUCUUCUUCUCUUCUUCCUCCUCCUCCUCCUCCUCUUUCUUCUUCUUCCUCUUUCUUCUGGGUUCGGACCCCUUUCUUUUUUCUUUUUUUUUUCUUCUUCUUCUUCUCUUUCUCUUUCUUCUUCUUCUGGGCUCGGACUUUUUUUUCUUUUUUUUCCUUCCAAUUUCAGGUUUUUAAAAAAAAAAUAAAAAAUUAUUUUAUUUGCCACGUGGCAGACAUUUGGCAGCCACGUGUCAUAUAUGUGGCAGCCACGUCAGCAUUUAACAGAUCCAUGGAUGGAAAAUCUAACGGUUGUAUGAAAUUGAAAUAAAAUAGUACUUGAGGUAUGAAAGUGAAAUGUUUUAAAGAUGUUGUAUGAGAUUGCAAUAGAGCUCAAACCUGAGAGGCUACUAUGUAAUUUACCCUAUUUAAUUAUAUUACAUUUAAUUUCAUAAAUUAAUUUCCUUUAAUUUUUGUAAUUAUAUUUUCUAGGUACGCCAAGCGGAGGAAUUGUAUGUCAAGGACAACUCGAAACUCUUUAAUCAACACAGUUGUUGGAGAAUUUAUAAGGGGUGGGUGUUAUUUGAAGAUCCACCUCAAGAAAGAAUUGCUCCUAUGCCGGUGUUCGGAAAUGCAUCCUCAAAUGCAGUUGGGGAUGAAUAUGGAUCUCCUAUCGUUCAAGAAACAAGGGUAGAAAAUCUAUCUUCGGGUGAAGGUUCCAUACCUAGGGCUAUGGGACGAAAUAAGGCCCAAAGGGCAAAGCAAAGGAUGAUUAUGCCUUUCAACAGGAAAUGGAGUCCUCAUUACGAUUAAUGGCGAAGCAAAAUGCCUUUGCCGCGGAAGAAAUGAAUCGUAGGCAUGAAGAACGGGCAAAACAAAUUCAAGAAGAGAUGGAUGAUAGGAACAUGCAAAGGAACACUUCGGAUUACACUUCAAUGAGCAAGACCUAUUUUGAUAGGAAAAAAAGUGAAAUUAUGGUCCAACGGGAGUUGUUUACAUCCGACUAUAAUCCUACAAUGGCGGAUGAUGAUGAUGAUAAUUAUAGACUUUAAAUUUAAGUUGUUGUAGUUUUUAAAUUUAAGUUGUUGUAAUCUUUAAAAUUUAAAUAAUAAAUUAUGUUUGGCCUAUGGCCCUUUGGCCCCCACGGUUGAAGAUGAAUUUUUGUCACAUGGCUAUGUUUGGCCUAUGACCUUUUGACCCCUCGGUUGGAGAUGAUAAGAAAUAUGGUCUGGCAUUGUUGUUACGCCCCGGACCCGGGGUCAACAGGAAAACUCUCGAACCCAAAUCCAGUGCACGAGCUAAAAAUAGAAUUAAAUAAAAGGAAAGUGAAACUGGGUGGAAAAAUAUGAAAUUCCUCUUAUAACGAGAAAUCGAUAAUUCUUUACAAGACUAAAAUAAAUAAAUACAAAAUUAUAUCCUCACCCUUAAUCUGAUCUCAUCCCGUCUACCUUUUCUGACUGUUUAGUUCUUAAACCUACUUAACAAUAGAGGGUUGAGCUUCAACAGCUCAGCAGGGACAUAACCUUAUCACAGUAAAUUGACAAUAUUAAAUUAAGUGUCAUGAAAUCAUAUGGCCAAAUAUCAAAUCAUUAUUGAUCAUGAAUGCACUUGAAACUCUUCGGCUACCCCUGUUAAUUUAUAUAAUAAAACAAGCGGACUUGCACGUUCCAUACUGUAACAUCCCACAUCGCCCAGGGGAGUGAUCCUUAAAUGUAUAUUCUCAUCCCUACCUAGCACGAGACCUUUUGGGAGCUUAUUGGCUUCGGGUUCCGUCGGAACUCCGAAGUUAAGCGAGAACGUGGCCAGAGCACUCCCAUGAUGGGUGACCCACUGGGAAGUUGCUUCUGAGUUUCCAGAAACAAAACCAUGAGGGCGUGUCAGGGCCUAAAGCGGACAAUAUCGUGCUACGGUGGUGGAGUAGGCCCGAGAAGUGUUCCGCCCAGGGCGGGAUGUGACAAAUGGUAUCAGAGCCAAUCCCUGGCCGGAAGUGUGCCGAUGAGGAUGUCGGGCCCCUAAGGGGGGUGGAUUGUAACAUCUCACAUCGCCCAGGGGAGUGAUCCUUAAAUGUAUAUUCUCAUCCCUACCUAGCACGAUGCCUUUUGGGAGCUCACUGGCUUCGGGUUCUGUCGGAACUCCGAAGUUAAUCGAGAACGUGGCCAGAGUACUUUCAUGAUGGGUGACCCACUGGGAAGUUGCUCGUGAGUUCCCAGAAACAAAACCGUGAGGGCAUGGUUAGGGCCUAAAGCAGACAAUAUCGUGCUACGGUGGUGGAGCGGGCCCGGGAAGUGAUCCGCCCCGGGCCGGGAUGUGACACAUACCAUGCAUUUUACCCUUGCAUAGAUGGUUCGAAUAUUCUAUUAUAGAAACUAACCCUCAUAUGAUAUCCCAAGUUCAUUGAUCUCCAGCCUAAAUUACCCACAUCGACAAUUCCUGUCAAUCCUAUUCUAAUGUGCACACCGGGCUCGCCUGGAACUAGUUUCACAAUGAUUAGAUUCAACUACACAAAAGAUCAUUUCAAACUACCCUCAUUUCCAUACUUCCAAUCUUAAGGCUGAAAUUUCAACCACAUCAACAUGAAUGAUGCACAAACAAUGUCAUUUCAUCUUUCACAUGUAUCACAGUACAUUCUCAAUGCAUAGCAUUUCAGCAUUAAUUCCAUAACCAAGAACAAGUAAACACUUAACUGAACCAAUUAGCCAAUUAUUAUCCAAUCACAUUAAUCAACCAAAAAGAUCAAGAAUAUUAUAGCACUUCACGAAAUUGAAUAAAAUCAAUUUCUGUAAAGGUUUGCCGUAUUUCCCCUACCUGGAUUCCAAAGCAUUGCUCCGACUCUCUAUUGCAAGAGUCUACCUUCAACAACUCCUAUCCACAAGUGUAAGAAAUUACUAAAAAAAAUGACAUGAACUUUAAUCCUAGUCAGAAUACUUAAGCUUGCUAAUUACACACUACUAAUUCAAAAGUCAUUUGGUUAAUUUACAACAGCAUGGUCAUCAGUGAAGGAAACUUUUGAACUAGAAUACCUUUAUAAAAUAAGUAAAGGUAUACUUCGAAAUACAUAAGUACAUUAACAUACUUCAGCCAAGCUAUAGAUAAAAGCACUAAUCUGUUAGUAUUAUGAAUGAUGUAAAAGCCCUUUAAUUGGCUAUGGUUUUGGCCCAAUUAGAAUAGAACAAACAGCUUAAUAAAAUAAUCUAAAAGAAAAGAAAAUGAAUAAUAUGAAUAUAUAGUUCAAAUACUACCGUAAUGGUGUACUGAACUUAUUUGGUUCAAAAUAAUAGUAAAUUAGAGUAUAGAAAAUUGAAAUAAAGGAAUUAACGAUUAAAUAAGAAGUAAUACAAAACUUUAUGAAAUUAAUAAGUAUAUACAACACAUAAUUAUAUAUAAUUAUUUUUGAAAAUACAGGUCCUCACAAUUGUUUAUUAAAAUAUUAAUUUCUUAAAUGACUAUAGGGCUAAAAGAGUCUCUAACCCUCUUUUGGUUGGAGAUAAGCCUCAAUUGGAGAUGGUAGCCAUUAUGAAUAAUAAUGAUGACUAAUCGUGACAAACGUUUGAAAUCUACAUGAGUAGGUAAGGUUUUGGCAGUAGGCAGUGGAUGUCUCUUUUUGAUUCCCAUCCACUUGUUGUCCACUUGCUCCGUAAGUGCAGCUUUUCAGUGCCUUUUUUUCUUAAGAAAAUUAAUAAAAAUAAGCUUUAAUUUUUUACAUUUUAAUCAAAAAUCGUUUAUUAAUUUUAUUUAACAAUAAAAAUAAAAAGAAUAAAAAAUAAAAUAAAAAAUAAAAAUAUACAACUCACGCUGGGCGCACGUACCUCCCACCCUUUUACCUCUCUUUCACACUCUCCUUUCUCCCGUUGUCAGCUAUCAUUAAGAGUUUUUUUUAGAAUAAGAAAAAGACUUCAAAUUAAAUUACAUUUCUCAGUUUUAUUUUUGUGGUGUUGUUUCCCAAUAGUAAUUAAGAUGACGAGAGACUUUUCAAUGUGUACAGAAAACGGGUAGUACACUACAUGUCUCUAUACAUGUGGUGAGAUUUUUAUGUUAAAAAUUAUUAACGUAAAAAAUAAAGUUUCUCACCACUUACACAAUAACACGUGGUGUACCACUUGUGUUACGCGCAUAAGAAAUUUUUUCUCCAAGAUGACACCUAAGCUCAAAGAAAUUGGAUGAAGAGUUACAUUUAAUUAAUGCAGGUAUGUAAAAAAGUGAGGAAAUUUUAAUUUGGUAACUGAAAACAACUUUUUAAAUAUAAGGCUAAAUAGCCAAAAUGGUCCCUGAGAUUUGCAUAACUCAUCACUUUGGUCCCUAACAUUUCAAAUCAAUAAAAGUGGUCCCUGAGAUUGUCCACCAUCCAUCAUUUUGGUUCUUCCGUUAUGCUAAAACUCACAAAACCUCACUAUGGUAAAACCCACAAAACCUCGCUAUGGUAAAACCUAAGGUGGGAGAAAAAACUCAUAGACUAAGGAGAAAGGUGAGAAGUUGCAUUAAGUCAAAACUAUACGUCUUCUGGAUGCAAGUAAAAGAGCUUACAAGGGUAUGACCAGCCGAAGAUGGGUGCCUCGUCAAAACCUAGUUAGGUAGUAAAAAACCCAGUGGGAAAAAUGCUAUCGUAGAAAAAAAAGUACAUGAAGAUCAAGUGAGUAUAAUUUUGGAUACUUCCGCAGAGUUUGACAAAAUUUCCAAAUAAGAAUGACAAGCAUUGCAUAUGAUUAGUUAGGCAUACCAAUUCCUCAGACAAGUUUCGAGAAAGUAGACUUCGGCAGUGACGUCGUGUAAAGGUUGGCAAGGUUGUCAAGGAUCGGCUUGCAUAACUUCAAUCUCCUGAUGCUUUGUUGAUGUGGUGUAGAUGCAAUAUCUCUUGGCGUUGACUUCGUUGAUGUAUCAUGUCUUUGUCGAGUUGAUACAUGCUGCAUAGUCUUCAUAGAUUGUCGUUAGGACUCAACGAUGGAUGAAGGCAUUGCAUGUACUUCAAAUAUGCUCAACAAUAGCUCUUAACCAUGUCUCACAUGUGGCAUAGUGAAGUGAGGUGAGUCUUGGAAUGAUUUGAAUAUUUGCAACUAAGGUCACAUCGUGGACCUCCAAGAUAUUGCGGUAUCCCUAACGGUAAAGACAUAGACAUUUGGGGAUGUCCCUUGUGCGGGUUUGAUAAGCAUCUUGCGUCAACAUAACAAACAAGGCUAGGAUCAUUCUGAUGAUCAAGGGGUUAGAUUUGCUCGGCAUAUGUUGGGAUUAGCCCAAAUCCGUAGUACCUUCAGGGUAGCAGAAAAACGUCUUUAUUACCAAUUCAGUGGUUGCAUGUAGGCGCGAUGCUACAUCUUUACUAAUAGAUCAACAUCGAAUGAGAUAUCAUGUCUAACAUAAUGAGCUAAGUACAACAAAGCGUAAAGUUGAACUUAGAUAUGGAACUUUAGAUUCCAUAACCUCUUCAAGGGUCUCAUUUGCAUAUAGCGUAUGGAAGAUCAUAGGUAUACUCAAAAGAUAACACCUUUGGGGUGUAGUUCGAUUGGUAGACCAAAAUAUCAUCAAAACACAAAACAACGCUUGAACUUCAGGUCAAGGCAUAAACGAGUUUUCCUAAGAUCCUCAUCUCCAUUUCCAUCUUUAGGUGUUAGGCAGUUUUCUCAAGCUCUUCUAGAGUCUUAAUGAGAUGCAUGUCAUCGACAUAAACUGUAACUCUAGCAAUUCAGAAUAUGACUUCGUAGUUUAACACGCAAUGGCAUAAUUCAUAUCUCUAAUUGAUCAAACAAUCACUUUGACAGGUAUACCAUAUCUGUCGAAUUGCUUCAAUCCGUAAGUGAACACCUCAAACAAGUUGAGAGGGUGUUCCGUAGUCUAACUAUUUGAACUAGUUCAUGUAAUUAUUCGAGAACUUACAUGUCAAUCUCCGUAUCAAUAUUCCUAUCGAGAAACACUAACCACAUUCAUAAUUCUACAGUCAAUCACAGGGCGUUUGAGAGAAACAUUGCGCUGAAAGUAAUGCUAUCUCAUUCAUCUCAUUACAUUUCUUUUCCUACUUGUAACACAACAGGGUUACCUUGGACAGUGUAGGAACGAAAAGUCCAAACACAUUUUGGUAAGGAAUUUAACCUAGAUUGAAAUCUUGGUUGUCCGAUUAGUUUUACGUUGUCAUUAAUCAACUGAAUGUAAUUCAAAAUUGUCGUUUUUCAUUUAUGUCCGUAGCUACCAUAUAAGUGAAAACAUCAUCGAUGAUAAUCUCAUUCCAAUUCCAUAUCUCAUCCAAACUAGUAUACUAGACCAAGAACUUCAAGUCUCAGGAGUAAUCCGGAUUAAUCUUUUGAGGUGAAAAUUAUUUGAGACAACGAUCAAUUAUGGAUUUAUGUUGUGUCGUGAUCUUCCUCUUCUAGGGAAGUGAAUCUUAUGAACCGAGUAAUACGUCGUGCUUCAAGCCAAGAACGGAUUGAUUGACUAUCUGCCAGGGUACCAAGUUGCCCAACAUGGGCAGCCAACACCCUUUAGGAAUGUUGACUUAACGUCUGUUAAGUACAUCUAUCCUUGCAUGCAUGUUUGCAGCUGGCAUAUGAUCUUGUCACUUUAGCUAGAUCAAAGGAAUGCGUCUAGAGCAACAUUCUGAAAGUUAGAAUACAUCACACAUACUUAUCACACUUGUGUGGAUAUGAGACAUAGUGGGCAACGUGCACGCGAAUUUGCUUCGUUCUACAGGAACUUUGACGUUCUUAUCUCCCUCUAAUAGCGAGAAGACUGUCUCAUUCAAGUGACAAUUCACAAAAUGAGCGAUAAGGAGAUCGCAUGCAAAGGUUGUAAAGAGCUAGUGCGAAGGAAAAUCAUAAUCAACAAAGAUUCACAUCCUUCUUUAAGGAACCAUGUUGGUAUGUUGCGGUGGUGCAAACUUGGCACAUGGAAUGCACACCCAAAUGUGUAAGUAUGGAACGUCAGGUUCGUACCUAGUAACCAACUGUAACAUCGAAUAGGUUAGGUGGCAAUGGCCUCAAAGCAAAUCAACAUAGUUGUGUACAUGAUUGCAUAGCUCUAGAAAUCAAUAGCUUGGUGUGUUCACCAAGGUCCAACGAUCAAUUAAACUGCGCUUUAUGAUCACUCUGCGAGGCUGUUUUGGGGUGAACAUGGGAAUUCAAUGUCCAAUUAUAAACCCAAAAAAAAAUGCAAUACUUCUUGAAAACCUUCGAUAUAAACUUUCUAGUAUUAUCCAGUGUUCUAGACUUUAUGGGAUAAUUAGGGUGGUGGUGCCUUAAAAUUGGCCAAGAGGUUUAGCUGCAGUGUGUGUGGACAAACAUGUGACCAGUUUGUCGAUUCAUCAACCAAAACCAUAAGUAUUUAUAUUGUCCACAUUUUGGUUGGAUUAGUCCACAUAUAUUUCCUUGAAUCCACUAUGAAAAGAAGGCCAUUUCGUAUCUUUGCUAGGGAUGAUUUAGAAAAUCAAAUUUCCCAAACGAGUAAGUUUGGCAAAGUGUGUGCUUGUAAACAUAAGAUCCUUACUUUGGGCAAGGAGAUUCUUCGUGGCAUCAUUGUUCGACCUAAGUUUACCAAACGGUCGUGCCAAGGCAAGUAAACUGCUCGAAUCACCCACCUCUAAGUCGGCUACACAUGGCGUAUCCUAGUGGGGAGGUAGCCUAUUGGCCCUAAAAUAAAACUUUAGGCUCAUUUUGGGGGUGAUGCAAAGACAUUCCACUCUAUGUUUCAUCAAUGGUUUCAUUCAUGAUCAUUGUUCUCUCGAAUAUCCUAAAGACUCAAUGAUUUUCUUCUGGAAUGAGGAGAACAUAAGGUCUCUUAAAUGGUAAUUUAGUACCAUUUAUACAAUGAGAAGCAUGCCAAUGCUCUUAAUUAGGUUGGAUAAACCUGAAGUCGUUGUUAAAGAUGUGAUUUAGGUAUAUAGUUAGUGUGCGUAGUGUCGCAUUCAUCCAGACAACUAACUUUCCCACAUUCGUACCUAAUCACGUUUUUAAUUGAAUUCGGUUAGAAACAUUAUUCAAUUAACUCAUAUUCGAGGACAAUAUCGAUAAGAUUAUCCACAAAGUAAACCAAAGUUACUAAAGAGAUUCUCCCAACAAGGUCAUCCAUGUCAAAAUUCUGGAGCAAAAUUAGUCUCAGAUAUUGAUUACGAGAAUGGUACUCCUUAACGAUAUUGGUAGGGGCAUGAAAAGGUGCAUAACCAAUGAAUCUAUUCCACCAAGACGGAAGUAGAUUCUGCAAGGUUGAGGUUUGGGAACACUAUCCCUUAUUCUUGAAGUUUUAGGUCUUAGAGAGUAUCCUACGCACGUUUGGUGACUUUUAUCAUGGCAUUUAUGAUGAUCAGUUUCUCUUUAUUUGCAAUGGUAUGCAGGCCCUCGUUGAUCUUAAGAAUCUUCUACAACUCAGGACAAUCGCAAUUCUCGAGCCUCUCGUUUUUAAGAACUUUUGUGGGCUGGAUGGUGCCUUGGAGAUAUUGAGGCAGCGACUACAGGGUUUAAUGGUGGUGGAAGACCACAGAGAUUAUGCUAUGGAUGUGCAAAGCAUCCGCAAUGAAGUGCAGCAGAAUUUUGAUAGAAAGCUGGAAGAGGUGGUUGCUAAACUUGUUUUGGGUAGCAAUCUGUUUAGAAAUUUACUUUUGGUCGUAACUACCAUCCUAUUAUUUUCUUUUACUUAGCGUCUUAUGGAAAUGACAGGUAAAGCAAAAGGGUGGCCAGGGGAAGACUGAAAUGCAUAUGUGAGUCUUUCGGCCUCCAAAAUGGUGGAUUGACGUAACAAAGCCACCAGCUGGUUCCGUAAACAACAUUACAUACUUGGGUACAUCUGGUGCGCUUGUAAUUUAUGUAUUGCUCUUGAUCUUGGAUCUGUACAUAGCGAACAAUUGGAAAUCUAGUCUCUUUCCCCAUAAGGGAAACUAAGGUAGGCUUUGGUUGUAACUUGUAGUCAUAAAUUGAUAGGUGAAACUUCAGGGGAAGAAAUGUUAUAUGUUAUACUAUCUUCUUGGAAAAUGAAUUUAUCUUGGCAGUCAGCUUAUCCAAGCAUCUUCGGUGAAAAUGAAGUUUUGUUGUGAAAGUAAUUGACGAUUAGCAAACUAGUUUAUAUGCCUGUGUAAGAUUAGUGGGGGUGAACAUGCUAUGAUUGCGUGAUGGAAGUUAAAUUUUCGCUCAGUAACUAAUAACCCAUGUAUCAUGGUGAAUGGGGAGGAGUAGUUCAACUCCUUAGAAGCUUUCUUUAACUUCUCAACGUACGAUAAUUCCAUAUUCUCACAGAAACAGCAUGUAGAAGCAACAAAGAAAGUUUUGAAGUGAUACUUCUACAGUUUGAUACAAGAGUAAGACUCUUUCAUGAAUGAAGUAGGUGAACAAUUCUUGUUGAACUAUUAAAUAGCAAUUUUUCUCUUUGGUACCUAAAAACACGGACUAUCGUUGCAUGAUUGAUUGCUGGAUUUGAUCUAAAAACUUAAAAGUUUAACCUUUGGAUAUGAUGCUACUGUUCAGGCUAGAUCUGUCCCUCGCACAGCUCCUUGGAGCUCUUGCUUGUCAGGCAAGGUUUGCUGCAAUAUGAACUUGCUGUUAGUUUGAAUGGUGCCUUUGUAGGGCCUUUGUUAGGUCGAGUCAUUUGACAUGAUUAAUGAAAUUGAUUGAGUUAGGGUUGAUUAGAAUUUGGGAUGGACACAAAGCGAGGAAUAGAGAGCAGGAAAAUUUGAAAUUGAAGAUCAAUUAUGUGAAGAAUAGUGCUAACUGUGAGAAUGUGAGGACAAAUAUAGGUGAGCGACCAAACUAUGCAAAGGGCUUAUAAAAGGCUGAGUUGCUCUUCAUAUUAUCAAUAAGUUUUAUGAUGGAACCUUAGCUUUCUUCAUGGUAUCCGAAUAGGUUGACCCACGUGUAAAGCCCAAUAGCCACAUGUGCUCACAUCACCCUAUUUGUAUUAUCCACGUGUUAGGCUUGAAAAUUCGUCACACAUGAGGGGGCAUGUGAGAAUGUGAAGACAAAGUCUCACAUUGGUAAGGGAACAAACCAUACAAGGGCCUAUAAGAGGUGGGACUAUUCCCUAUAUAAUAUAUUGCUAAUUAGUUUUAUGGUGAAAUCUCAACUUUAUUCAGUAAUAGUGCAUGAAGAUGAUGAUAUCAUAAAAAUUAUUAGUGGAGCGUGAGAGGGCUUUCUUAAGUUUAGGAGAGAUAACUAAUAAUGUUUCAAUAGAGAAAAAUAAGAUUUGAUAGAAGAAUUGUAAUAGCCAUGUGGAGCUAGGUGUAUGGAAAGGGAAUUUAUAACCCUUUUGGGGAAAGUAUGGGGGAAUUUUAGUUAUAUAAGGUUUUCUGGUCGAGUGAGUAUUGAAAUAAUUUUUCAGACUCCAUUAAGUUUCAGGUGACUGAUUGUUUACUUCAGUGGUAGUCCAGAGUUCAUGCCCUACGCUAACAGUUUGGGGCAGGACAAUUUUGAUGUGGUGAUUUACAUUUAUGAUAUUUAAAAUCAAUAAAAUUGGUUUGUUAACAAUCAAUCAUUUUAGUCAUUUCAUAAAAAAAUUUCGUUAAAUAAAAAUAAAAUAGCAAAAAUACCAUCAAUUUUUGUCAAAUUAUUUUGGCAUAUUAUUUAUUAAAUUGAAGAGUAUUUUUUUCUCAUUUUGGUCCUUAUUUAACAGAAAUUUUCACGGAAUGACCAAUAUGAUUGAAACUGGACAAACUCAGUAACCACUUCUGUUGCUUUCAAAUCUUAAGGACUAAGUGAGGAGUCAUGACAAUCUCAAUAAUCAUUUUAGCUAAAAAGCUGAAGGUAAAAGCCCAAGAUAAUAUUACCCUUUACCCUUUAAUUUUAAAAAACUUGAAAGGAAAGGGGGCUCAAAAAAAUAAUUUUAAAUUGGAAAACAAAAAUAAAGCAAAUUUGAGGUUCAAAUAGAACCAUCAUAAUUCAUUUGUUUUCUAUUGGAAAAAGGUUUUUUGCCAUCUUGGUCUGUGUUUAACUAGCUUUCUUCUAGUUGAAACCUAAUUUCCCUAAUUCUCUAAUACAUUAGUUUCAAAUGUUUUUUUUUUUUCCCGUCAUUCCUGUAAUCCCAGAUUUAUUUCAAAGUAUUUAGAUUUUUGUAACAAAUGUAUAGUUAUAAUAACUUAUUUACAACUUAAAAUCCAGCCAUCUAAACUUGCAAAUUGUUGCAGCCAUGAGGCUCGUUAAUUAUUUUUUAAUAUUUUUUUUCACUGUUUUCCUAUAUGAUAAAGGGUGGUGCAAUCUACACACCUAACUUUACCUCUCACAUAUCCCUUGUUAAUUACUGUCCUUUCUAUUUUUCAAUUCAUUCGAUCAAUUUCAACUGUACAAUACACAAGCAAAACACAAAAGCGAAUACACCAAUUCUGGUUGAUUUCUUAAGAGAGAGUCAUCAUCCAAACCAGAGUAGUGCUAAAGACUAAUUGGAAAACUAAUCAUUGUCCGUACAACCAACAAAAUCACACUCCCAAAUAGGUUACAAGCAUUCAUCCAAGUUCCAACUAGUACUAGAGAGCAGCAACAGUCUAGAACUCCCAUUUCUUCAUGUCCACGCCGACCGGAGCACUUCCCUCAACCUUUUGUUUCCCACUUCCUUACAGUUUGUCUAAGUCAUUGUCCUGUUCCACUCCCCACAGCAUGUCUUGUCUCCACAGAGCACUUCCCUCAACCUCUUGUUUCCCACUUCCUUCCAGUUUGUCUAAAGCACUGUCCUGACUUCCCUCAGCAUGUCCUGUCUCCUCGGUGCCCUUUUUCGUCUGUAUUCGAAGAGGUGAUAAUUUUCCGCACCUCCAUUAAGUUCUUCCCGCCGCAUCGCUUAGUCUACCCUUUUUCGUUUCGGGGAUGGGUAGUACGGGCUUGACGCUCCAACAACUGGGCUACUGACCCUUAGUGGAACAGAGUUGUCCUCGCUGAAUUCAAGAGAUGUCCAGUGUAAUGGUUCAGCUUUAGCCAGGCGAAUUUCAACUUUGGUGGACAGAACGUCAAAUCUGCACUUUUCAGGCAUUAUCUUUCCAAAUAAGCGAGGCUGAAAAUAAUAUGUAUCUUCACCAGCAACAUCAAUGCUAACACUUAGUAUUUGUUCACCAAAGUCAACAUUAACGUCUUUGGCUGGUAUGCCCUUGGCGAAUAUAGUCACAACCACUUCUUCU
rnacentral:lncRNA from 1 species